rnacentral:lncRNA from 1 species
GUUGGCAAUGUCAGGUUAAGAAAAUAUGUGCGUGGCCAGGCGUGGUGGCUCACACCUGUAAUCCCAGCACUUUGGGAGGCUGAGGCAGGUGGAUCACUUGAGGCCAGGAGUUCGAGACCAGCCUGGCCAACAUGGUGCAACCCCGUCUCUACUAAAAACACAAAAAUUAGCCAAGCAUGGUGGCAGGCACCUGUAGUCCCAGCUACUGGGGAGGCUGAAGCAGGAGAAUCGCUUGAACCCGGGAGGUGGAGGUUGCAGUGAGCCGAGAUUGCACCACUGCACUCCAGCCUGGGUGACAGAGUGAGACUCUUGACACACACACACACACACACACACACACACAGAAGAAGAAAAUUGUGUGUGUUCGUGUGUGUGUGUGUGUGUAUCCAGAGAGUUAAAUAUACCAUUUUCCCAUUUUAGGGACGAAGAAACUGAGGUGAGGUCACCUGCCCGAGUGAUGCAGCUAGUUGGCAGCAGAGUGGGACCGGAACCCUGCUGCCAGCAAGGUAUUGUGGGGGCUGAGUGGGACUUCCUUCUGGACAACAGAGGGGAG